UACGUAGGGUGCAAGCGUUAAUCGGAAUUACUGGGCGUAAAGCGUGCGCAGGCGGUGUUGUAAGGCAGGUGGGAAAUCCCCGGGCUCAACCUGGGAACUGCAUUUGGGACUGCAUCGCUGGAGUACGGCAGAGGGGGAUGGAAUUCCGCGUGUAGCAGUGAAAUGCGUAGAUAUGCGGAGGAACACCGAUGGCGAAGGCAAUCCCCUGGGCCUGUACUGACGCUCAUGCACGAAAGCGUGGGGAGCAAACAGG
rnacentral:rRNA from 1 species